ACUUCUCCAAGCCUCGGAAGUGCUAGACUCUCUUCUGAGAGAUUUGGCAAUUUCACCUGCCUUUAAUGCGCUGGCAGGUGUGUGAUGAGCCUGGGUCUUAUACACAAAACGACUUUUUGGUCUUUUUGUCUAUUAUUGUAGCUCACGAAGACGCUUACAGAACUGGGAGAAUAUGGUUGGGAUGGCCCAAUGUGAAAUGUAUUCUGAGAAGUGAUUGCGGCGGGGUGGAGGGAGUGGAGGCAUCACUCAGAGACAGAGGCAUUCAUCAUCCUGAACACCCAACCCUGGAGUGCUUCAGUAGGUCCAUGUGACUGCUGUGAUACUGUAAUAUAAUUAGAAGUGUAUAUUUUGGUCUUUGUCCCUGCCUCCGGGCGAGGGCUCUGAAAACCCUUACAGUCUCCUGCGUGACGGGGUGCUGGGAAAACCUUUUGUGCUAACAUUUGGUCUGUGACCCUGAUUCCUGACAGUGAUUCUGAAUCCCCUGGAAUUUCUGGGGACACAGAAGCAUCUUUUAUUCUAAGGAGGUAAUGCUUGGUGGCUCCUGGCGGGGGCGGGGGGAGGUUGAGUGUUAGAAAGACCCAGACACGAUUAGAAAUCUGAAGCUUUCAACUCCACCUGCCACCCUCCAGGCAGGGGAGAGGGGCUGGAGAUUGAGCUAAUUACCGGACUUGCCUACAUAAUGAAGCCUGAACUACAGGGUGUGGAGAGCUUCUGGACCAGCGAGCCCAGGUGAAGCGUUUCCCUGAGAUCUGAGUCCUGGCGAAUUCAUCGAAACUGAGGAGGAGGUCAUCGGUGACUUAGAGUCAAUUUAUAGCCAAGUUGAAUGGAGAUGUGGGUGACUUGGGGAUUCAAUCCUUGCAGCUGGUGUAUGAAGUGGAGGACAGUCUUGUGGUUCUGGCCCUUAACUGGUGAGGUCUGCACUAAUGCCAGAUGUUAAUCCACAAGGACAAAGAGAACAGGACAGGAGGUGAUGGAAGGAAGAUUUGGGAAGCAGGAAGAGACACGCAGCCCCUGACCCAGCAGCUCUGAGAAAGGUGAAUCAGAACAGAUGUGGGGGGUAUCUGAGAAGCCCUGAGUUACCCCGCAGAACCCUCUGGGAGAGGGAUGAAGGGUGCCGGGCUAAGAGGCAGUCUGGCCCUGAUUCUUCUCCCUGAGGCUUAUGCUGGCAGAGGAAACACACAUUUGGAUGUAGUAAAGAAAGACUUUAUUCAAAAGGACUAUUGUGAGUGGGUGGAGGGGAAAUAUUAUAACAGAACACUCUGCCCAUGAGGUCUGCAAGCGUCUCCAGAGUUAGAAAGAACCAUUCUUUUCUAGAGAGGAGGAAGCAAAGCUAGAAAGAGCCAGGUGUGGGGAAAUGGGAGGAAGGAUGGUGUGUGGCCAGGUGUGCGGCUCAUCCCUGUAGUCCUAGCACUUUGGGAGGCCGAGGUGGGCAGAUCACUUGAGGUCAGGAGUUUGAGACCAGCCUGGCCAACAGCGGCUGAGGAGGCACUAAGGGGUUUUCACCACCAAACGAGGAAAUAAACGAAAAGAAAGAAGGCAGAGGGAAAAGAAGCAGGGCAUUCAACUCGAGGAGAAAUAAAGAGAAUCCUCAGAGGGGAUUCAUGAAGACAGGUCCCAGGAUGUAGAGGGUUACCAGUUCAUGCUGGGACAUGUCAGAGUUCUCUAGGGUAAUUAUCACCAGUAAAAUAAAGGUGUUAGAAUUCUGUUGCAUAUGGAUAUAUUGAGAGGCUAUUUAGACAACCAGUGGCAAAUUCGAGGCUAAACUAGCCGUCAUAGAAUACUGCAUGGUUCAGGUGUAAAUAGCUUUAGGUCUUUUAUCCAUGUGUUAUUGAUUUUUGCAAAAGAUGUGGAAAUAAAUGUGUCACAUCCUCCAAUACAGCAGGGGAAAGCAAAAAAAGAAAUCAAUGAACUGGAAACGAUACCUGAAAAAAUUACCCAGAACAUGGCACAGUGGGCCAGAGUGGCAGGAAAUCUGAAGAGGCAUUGAGAGACCUAGCUAAUAGGCACGGAGCACAGAUUGGGAAGGGUGGACCGAGGAGGACUGACUCAGUAUCCCCUGUGUUCCAGGAGGUGACGAGGGAGUCCGUGUGAGAAACAUACGGGAUGUUUAGACGAAUUUCCAGAAUGAAUGUGAGACAUUAAUCCUUACAAUCGGACCAUGUAAUCACUUUCAAAUGGAAUCAGUAAAAGAAAUUCACACUUAGGUAAAGAAUAACAGAGAUGGGGGGGGGGAUAAGGAAAGAGAGAGCGAGAGAGAGAGAUGGGGAGGGAGAGGGAAAAAAAAGUAGGAGGGACCAAUGGCUGGCUCUCACUAGCAAAAAUGGUAGUUUGAAAAUAUGCAUAAAGAAAAUCUCUACCUAGCAAAAAUUACUUUUAAGAAUGAAUGUAUAGCUGGGUGUGGUGUCUGACACCUGUAACCCCGGCACUUUGGGAGGCCAAGG